AUUGAACGCUGGCGGCGUGCCUAACACAUGCAAGUCGAGCGGUAACAGGUGUAGCAAUACAUGCUGACGAGCGGCGGACGGGUGAGUAACGCUUGGGAAUCUGCCUAUUAGUGGGGGACAACCCGGGGAAACUCGGGCUAAUACCGCAUACGCUCUACGGAGGAAAGCCGGGGACCGCAAGGCCUGGCGCUAAUAGAUGAGCCCAAGUCGGAUUAGCUAGUUGGUAGGGAACGGCCUACCAAGGCUACGAUCCGUAACUGGUCUGAGAGGACGACCAGUCACACCGGAACUGAGACACGGUCCGGACUCCUACGGGAGGCAGCAGUGGGGAAGUAUUGGUACAAUGGGGGAAACCCUGAUCCAGCGACGCCGCGUGGGUGAAGAAGGCCUGCGGGUUGUAAAGCCCUUUCAGUGGGGAAGAAAGACCUCGACCUAACACGUC
rnacentral:rRNA from 1 species